rnacentral:hammerhead_ribozyme from 1 species
AUCCAGAUGACGAGUCCCAAACAAGACGAAACGCGCGUCCUGGAU